UUAUCAAGGUUUUCCCUUUCAUUCCUAUUUUAGGUUUACUAUUUGUGUCUGCCUGUCGGCCCCUUUGAAGUUCCUCAAGCACAGGAACCACCGACUUCUACCUCUUACGUGUCGACGUGAUGAAGAGGCCACCCUCCGAAGGUGGAAGGCGGAGACAUGCUACGAUGCAAAGAGACGAGCAUUGGGCUCGGAGUGAACUUAGCAACAUUUAUUGCAAAACAGAAGCUUUUCUCCACUCACUUAUCAACGCAACAGAUAAAAGUUACCUACUCGA